rnacentral:snoRNA from 1 species
GCUGUCCGGGACCUACCAGCAGCACAGAUGCAGAUGCUCUGCUCUGCCUGUAACAUCGGGGUAAAGUCAAAGUGGUUAUUUCUACAAAUAGUCUGACAUUU